AGAAAUACCUAGCAGGGGUCUCUCUACCGUCACUGACUGAGGAACAAAUAGCUAUAAUACAAGACACUAUCACAGUAGAAGAUGUGCUCCAGGCUAUAUCCCGCCUACCGAGCGGGAAAGCCCCAGGCCCAGACGGGUUCCCCAACAAUUACUACAAAAUAUUCGCACACACUCUAGCCCCGCACUUAGCAAACGUAUUCAAUGCAAUCACUCUCAAAGCAGAUGCACCGACAGAGAUGCUGAGCGCACACAUAGUUACGCUGCCCAAACCAGGGAAACCACCCACAUGUAGC